UUUUCGCAGCGAAAAUGAUCAGACCUUACGUGUUUCUAUUGGUGAGUGCGCCAGUUAUAAAAUUAGAGAGCCUCUGAGAGUGCAUUCAGAUUUCUCAUCCGAGUGCCCUCAGAUGUCGUUUUAUCCUUGUUUAACAUUCAGUAAAUAACAAGGAUAAAAUAAUACCUGGAAAUAUUUGGGUGGGAAAUCUGAACACAGAGGGGGUGUUUACAAUAAUGGCUAUCUGAGUAAUUUUCUCUAGGACCAAAAUAUAUGAUAAGCACAACCAUCUACUAUCAUCAUGAUUCGUGACAACUCAAUGCUGUCCGGUAUAGCCAAAUCAUCACGAGCAAGUUGCGAGUUCCGUGAGUUUGUAGCAGUCUACAAUGAGUCGUUGGUCGUUGGUCGUAAGAAAUUUAAACAAUUAUGGGUUACACGACAUUAGUCCGAAAACUAGAUGGGGAAAAUGUUGGUACCAACAAAAUUCUCUAGACAUUUCAAUUUCAAUUUUUACAGGUUAGUAACAUUGUUUAAGUAGUAAAUCUACGAGUGUUCGGAGUUUCGGAGACGUUUUGACAUAUGCGCGCGCCAAAAUAAUAAAUAUUAAGUUAAAUUGUAACAUGUAAUUGAAAUUAAUGUUAAAAAAUUACAACUGAAUAUUAAGUACAUAGAGAUGAACAAGAAAAAAAAUGUUUUAUAUAUUUAUAUGUAAGAGAAGAAAUUUUAAUAAAAUAUAUUAAUAUAUUAAA